AAAUCUAGGCCUCUCCCCACACUCCAAACUGCAAAUUUCCUGGAUCACACCCACUUCAUCUUUAAAAAAAAAACUCUUUAGAAAACCAGUAAAUGAACUCCCCACAUACACAUCUGGCAGAUCUGCUCUCUGCCUGAUGUUUGCUGGGGACGGAGGAAGCCCGCGGGAGAAGGAAAAUGUGACGCUCCGUCCGUCUCUGCUUUUGUAAAUGAUGCCUUGAUGACCACACACUUCGGUCCAAGACAGCACUCAAAAAUAAUGCUUGCAUUUGGUUGUUUAAAAACUGGAAUAGCUGGAAUACACACGGAAUAGCUAGAAUGCUCAGUUAAGAAAGGAAACAACAGCAGUGAACGGGACAGGCUGGUGGACGGCGUUCAACCAACCAUAAACCAGCUGUGUGACCCUCGGCGAGUCACGCAUCAGCCUCCCAGCUGCUUCUGCAACUGUCCAGUAAACGGGGCCCGGCUUAUGUCGGUGGAAGGAAGGGCUUUACAAUCAGGGAUUCAACCAACCAUAGAUCAAAAAUAUUCACAAGAAUAAACUGCAUCUAUGUUGAAUAUGUACAAGCACUGGCCUUGUCACACAAGUCCUUGAAAAUAUAGUACAUGAGCUAUUUACACAGCAUUACCCUGUUGGGUGACGUAAGGAAGCCAGGGGUGAGUUUGUGUCUACAGAAGGGUGUGGACAGCUUCUGUGCAGCAAAUACCACGCCACUUUAUGUAAGCGCUUGAGCAUUAGGAGUUCUGUGUUCACAGAGAACCACGGAAGAGCACCCAGAGCUCAGAACACAACCUCCCCGCGUCUUCAAUCUCUCCACCCUCUGAGAUGAGGGAAUUACGAUUUGGAUAUUAUUUAAAGGCAACUUAUCAUGGAACAUGAAGACUUAGCUAUAUACUCCCAAGUAUCUUCCUAUGAAGCAGAUAUUUUGCUAAUCCCCUCGCUUGAGAGCCACCGUCAGCCCCUGGGCCUGAGGACAGCUGAAGCAGCGACGGCGCUUGAUGGCAGCUUCUGGAAUGGCCGGCCCCAGAAGUAAGUACACACACACACCACAGCUGCAUCCUCCCGAGAGGACCGAAAACCACCACGUCCAGCUCCAAAGAUGCUAGUCACAUUUUAACAUGACUUUCAAGAUUCUGCAGCAGCCAUUAAAUCACUGAGUUUUAAUGGACCAAACUUUACCAACAGGAACUUGGAAAACAGUUUAUAUGAAAUGGACAUCUCUCGUCUGUAACCCCAGCCCUCGGAGUGGCGGAAGUAGGAGGGUUGCAAGUGCGAGCCCAGACUGGGUGCCUCAGAAAGAUCCAUGACAAAAUAAAAAGUACGCAAAUAAAAACGGUUGGGAACAUCCACUUGAUGUAAAGGCACUGGGGUCAAUCCCCAGUACUACAAAAAGCAAAGCAAAACAAAAACAAAAACCUUCAAAACUACCCACCUGGAUACUCGUUCAGCAAACAACAUGAGAAAAAGGAAGGCUUUCAAAUGGCCAGAGGGAAGUAAAAGACAAAGUGUUACCGAUUUUAAAGAAGAAAGAACAAUUAUAAUUGGGUGAGGGAGAAGUAUUAGGAAAUACAUAGGGUAAAUAGCCUGAACUCAGCCAGAGCAGUCACUAGUCAGCAAUUUCUGGUGGCAGCUCUGGUAGGAGACACACAGACAGGCGUUUUCCUCCAGGAAUGGAACCUGCUCCUCUGUCCUGAGAAGUCAGGACGACGAGCUAGGUGGGGGGAGAACUGUGUGGGCUGGGAAGGCAUGGACAUGGGCAGCACAAACUGGGAGCUUCUGAAUCCAUAGAACCACUCCACGGGGUGGCUGGGACAUGGUACCCUCUUCCUCUAGCGCCACUCCGCUAGUAGUGUGUUUUCCAUUA